AUCAUCAGUUGCUAUUGUCUGUAAGUGAUUUAUUUAUAUAAUUUGAGAAGUCUUUAGCUCAGCUCCUUCAUUAUCUGCAAAUUAUAAUCUUUUGUGCGCUAUGUUAUGCAGAUCGAAGAUGCUCGAAUGCAAAAGGGAUGAAAUCACGGACAUUGGGUUCAUUGACCCGGACACAAUGCAUGUCAGGACCAUAGAAGAACCCCUCUAUAACAGGGAUACACCGGAGACUUUGCUAAGGUUUUUGAAGCGACAACGUGACAAAAAGACAAUACUUUGGCCUUACAACUUCCAGUUUCACUUUAUUCUUAUCGUCAUUAAAAUGUACGAAGGAGAAGUUGAAGUCUUUGACUCACUAACCAAAGAGCCUAUACUAUACAAGUCUUGUUUUCUUAUGCUCAAAAGGUAAUUCAAAUUCUUAUCGGUUUUUUUGUGAAUUUCCUGAUAUCAACUGAUUGAUAACUCUUUUGUGCAUUUUCUUUUGUCGGGCAGCGUAUGGGAAACUUUCAUCAAGGAAGAUCAGUCCUUUCAAUGGGCACCGAAGCUGAUAUGGCGUGCGAACAAGUAAGUAGUAGUUACCUAGGUCCACACACCUUUAUCAUACUUGAUUAUUGUUUGACUGAAUUAUAUUCUUGUACAGAAAUGCGCGAAACAACCACAGGGGACUGAUCUAUGUGGAUACUACGUUUGCGAGUACAUCCACAGAAUUGUCAGCGAGAGAGCGAAUAAUGAAAGAAAUAAAGAGUUGAGAAGAAAGCGGGAGAAGAUCUCAAUCGAGGAGCGCUUCAAAGCAAUUGGCGAGGAAUUGGCGGGAUUUUUCCUUCGGGAAGUCAUACCACCAUCCGGAGAGUUCCACUAUGCAUAAAGAUCUUCUCCCGCUCCUCGAUUGCUUUGUGUAUAUAUAGUUCGA